rnacentral:misc_RNA from 1 species
CGGGACAAAAACUGCACUAUGUUGGACAUUCACUGGGUACUUUGAUUGCUCUGGCUUCCUUUUCAAAGAGUCAAGUAUUGAACAUGUUGAGAUCAGCUGCCUUACUUUGCCCAAUUGCUUAUGUUGGUCAGAUGACCUCCCCACUUGCAAGAAAUUCUGCUCAAAAUUUUCUUGCUGAGACUUUAUACCGGUGGGGUAUUCUCGAAUUUGAUCCAAGAGGGGAAUCCGUAAUCAAAUUUCUCAAGGAC